rnacentral:lncRNA from 1 species
CUGCUGCCAUGUGAGAAGGUCCAAGCUUACUUUCCCUUUGCCUUCCAACAUGAUGGUCCUGCUGAGGAUCCCUGGUGCCCAGUAGGGAACACCGUGAGGAGGAGGAUUAAGAAAGGCACCCUUUCCACUGAUUUGCAUCGCCAUUUGUACAUGGAGUUUGGCUACAGCAAAAUCCGUUGCUAUCUCACCAGCUACAAGAAGCAAAGAACGAAUUGCAAUUCAUUUUUGUGCUCUAGGACCCGGUUGAGGAACACACCCUUCAAAGUGCUAAUGCUGUUCCAGCUCAGCAGACACCUCGUCUCGGGAAAGCCAUUAGAAACCCCCAAAAUACUACAUUUUUCUCCUGAGCUUUGAACCCUGAACCCAGCAUUCUGAGAGUGGGAACCAGAAAUGUGCAUUUGAAAAGACUCCCCAGGCAAUUCUGAUGAGGAGCCAGUGAGCCUGCUGAACCAGGUGACUACUGACAUCUCUUCUUUGAGUGACUUUCGACCAUCCCACAAAUGUCUGCUCGACGGUGUCCUGGAAGAGCUGGGUCAUGGCUCUCAUUACACACUACUCAGCAUCAUACACCAGGUUGUAUCACACAUCUCAUUCACACUACUGAGCAUCAUACACCAGGCUGUAUCACACUUUGUCCGGACUUCAUGAGUCUUCCAGUACAGUGAUGGGACGUAGGUUUUCUAGACUUGCCUAUGGGCUUCUCCUCUUUCCUAAUGAAGCUUCCACUCAUCCAAACGUCCUUUGAGGAGGAAAUUUAUCCAACUCACUCCACUGCAAAAGCUGGAGAACUGACAAGAUUCUUCCUGACCACUUCAGUGGCUAUGAUUAUAGGCAGUAUUGUGGUUUUCAUUUGCAAAAUGAGGAAUAAAGCUGCAGACAUUUCCAGUACUAGAAAUGGUCUGUUUGUAGCAUGAAGGUGCAUAUUCAUUUCUUUUUCUUUUUUCCUGACCCUUAAUCAUUUAUUACAUUUUUCUCCUGUUAAACAAGCUAUAUAGGCUGAAUACAAAGAAGUUUGAAAACACAGAAAGGUAAAAAAAUUAAAUUAAAUUAAGAUCAUCUGAAAUGUUAACUUCAAGAGAAAGUUAACAACUGUGAGCAUUCUGGUUUGUAUAUUCUUGCAGUCUUAUUUAAUUAAUUGCAUUUAUGUACUUUAAAAAAAGUAGAAUUAUAUUGUAUAUAUGGCUUUGAUUUCUUAAAAAUUAACAUUGUGAACAUGUGCAAGGAGUGUUUCUUAAAUUGCUCUUUCCAUUGUCACUUUUACUGGAGAUUAAAGUCUCAAAGUACAUUUUUUGACUUAGCAGAGGGAGAGCUGAGAUGUCUCAUUAAAGCUUGGCCGAGCGCCUUCUGUUACUGCUUAUUUACAUAAGUAGCUUUCCUAAAAUCAACGGCUCCCAUGAACAAGACAUAUAUAUUAAUGCCUCACAGUCCAAUAUAUGAUGAGAUAAAUGACCACUGCUUCCUUAUAUAAUGCGCACACACUUGCCUGAGACAAGUCAGCUGUUCUGAAACACAAGAUUAGGAAAUUCAAUUUCAUGUAUACAUUUCCAUGAAUCAAAAGUCAAAAUCAAAGGACAACCUUCUGUGUUACAGUGAACUCUGGAAGUAAGUGUAAAUAAGAUAAUAAGAUAUGCCCUACUUUGUUGUCAUCUUUUUUUUUUUUUUUGCUUUUUGUUUUUUGUUUGUUUUGAGAUGGAGUCUCACUCCGUCACCCAGGCUGGAGUGAAGUGGUGCAAUCUCGGCCCACUGCAACCUCCACCUCCUGGGUUCAAGCAAUUCUCAUGCCUCAGCCUCCCAAGUAGCUGUGAUUACAGGCGUGUGCCACCACGCCUAGCUAAUUUUUUGUAUUUUUACUAGAGACAGGGUUUCACCAUGUUGGCCAGGCUGGUCUUGAACUCUUAACCUCAGGUGAUCUGCCUGCUUCAGCCUCCCAAAGUGCUGAGAUUACAGGUGUGAGCCACUACACCUGGCCAGCUAUGCCCCACUUUGAACAAACAUUGCUAGAAUCUGGAAGAAUCUUCUGUUAGCCAAGGAUUGCUUUUGAGGUUCACUCCAAAAACUGAGCUACCACCGGGGACAAAUGGUCUCAUAAUUUUGAGUGUGUAAAGUGCAGCGAUUCCAGCUCAUGAGCACUAAUAUAAUUUUGGAAACAAUAUACCCACAACAGGCAUCGUCUAGAAAACUAACAGGAUCUCUUUUCCACUAGAGUGUAUUGUUGUUGACUAAGUGUUUUCAGUUAUUAAGCUGGAAGAGACAUGCUGGGGAGAAUGCUUUGGAGGAACAAGUAAGCACAGAACACAGAGAAUCAGGAAUGAAGCAUCCACACAGUCCAUCCAAGCAUACUGUGAAUCAAAACACAUGUCAUAGCUGGAACGAAAGCAUUAGGACCAUCUAACUGGAUUCCACUGGAAUGAGUCUCUGUGAAACCAUGCCGAAGUCUUUGUAAACAACCACCCUAAAGAAAGCUACAUGAAGAAUAGCCAAUAACAAAAGCACUGGAUUUAACUCAAUUUUGUGAAAAAACAAAAAAAACAAAUAUGAUGCACACACUCUAUCCUUUUGUGAACAAAAUGCCACCAAACAUUUGAAACUGGCCUAAGCAUACAUUGACAUGUUUGACAUGAAGCCCAGCCUUAUUGAUCAGCCUUUCCAAUACCCCCCGCCCCCCAUUCUUUAUUCCCAAUAGAUACAUCUUCUCACAGGUAAUUGGGCAGAAAAAUGCUUAUUGACUGAUCUUGAAAACUUCAAUGCAUCUAAAGCUGGAGAACAUUCAAAAACCAUGCUUCUCUUUAUUUAUUUCAGUUUCCAUGGCAAGAGGAAAAUAAAAGGCAACUGUUUUGAAAGCAACAACAGUAAACGAAGCAACAUCUCUGGCAAGCAGGCAAACCUUAAAGAGUAAAAGUUAUAAAUCCCCAUGUAGACAAUACCUUGUAGGUAUACCUUCCCCCAACCACGGGGAUGACUCUUAAUGGUGCUGACUAGGUAUAGACACCAACUUGGGACCAGUAAGUUAUUCUUAGAAGGUGCUAACUUUUGUAUUUUCUUUUAGGUUCUUGCUGCUAUGUUUCUCUUUCAAUUGACUUCCAGAAAUCAGACAGUGAAAUCAAUGGGGCUUUCCAGGCCACUGAAUUCAAAGUAAUCAGGGCAGGGUCAGAAUGCUGAUUGACUGUUUUCAACACACAGGGACCUGGAAUUUGGGUUCUAGCUCUAUCCCUCAGCACAGAGUCAGCAGACACAAUGCCCUAGAUGGUUGGAUUUUCUAGUGUCUGUGACAGGCAUCUUCAAAGCUGAUUCCUCUCCCUCUGAGAAAUCAAGGCCACCACCUUUAACUACUGACACAGUAGUGUACUUCCCGUACUGCAACCUCAGUCCCUUUUGUCACUUUUGCUUUGCAUUCAAGUGCCUUGGCCAGUGUUAACUGCAGCACUUUGAUUUCUCUUUCUAUAAAGACUAUCAAGUACCAAGUCAUUUGUUUCUGCAACCAUGUAACCCAAGGACAUAUUCUCCUGGAUGAAAUUCCAAGACCCCCCCCGCCACCAGAAGUCAGUGGAGAAUAGGCACAGAAAAGAUGAUGAAGGUCAUAGUUUCUAAUAAUUUGUUUUCUUUUUAAAAAAAAUUUUUAAUUUUUAUUUUUUUGAGACAGAAUCUCACUCCGUCACCCAGGCUGGGGUAUGGUGGCAUGAUCUCGGCUCACAGCAACCUCUGCCUUCCAGGUUUAAGUGAUUCUCCUGCCUCAGCCUCCUGAGUAGCUGGGAUUACAGCCGCAUGCCACCACGCCCAGCUAAUCGUUUGUAUUUUUAGUAGACACGGGGUUUCACCAUGUUGGCCAGACUGGUCUCGAACUCCUGACCUCAAGCGAUCUACCUGCCUUGGCCUUCCAGAGUGCUGGGAUUACAGGCAUGAGCCACCAAGCCCA